GCAUAUUAAUAAGCGGAGGAAAAGAAACUAACAAGGAUUCCCUGAGUAACGGCGAGCGAAAAGGGAAUAGCCCAGCGCCGAAUCUCUUGUCCUCCGGGCAAGAAGACAUGUGGCGUUUGGGACGAGGCUUUGCCUGUGCAGAAUGGUCAUCCAAGUCCCUCUUGAACGGGGCCAUAGCCCAUGGAGGGUGCUAGGCCCGUAUGAUGACUUUAUUGUGCAGUGCGUCUCGUCCGUAGAGUCGGGUUGCUUGGGAGUGCAGCCCAAAUCAGGUGGUAAACUCCAUCUAAGGCUAAAUAUGACCACGAGACCGAUAGCGAACAAGUACCGUGAGGGAAAGUUGAAAAGAACUUUGAAGAGAGAGUUAAAAAGUACGUGAAACCUCUCGGGGGUAAGCGGGCAGAACUUGCAAGUAUUGGCUGGGAACAUUCAGGCUUAGUGUCGGCGGCUUGUGGUGCACGUUUUGUUGCUCUUUCGGGAGUUGACUGCCGUGUGCUGCUUGUUCUGCUGACGAUGCGCCGCAUUUGUUCCUGUCAUCGGGUUGCAUGCGACUGAAUUGGCAGUUUAGGUGCUGGGUUCCUGCAAAUCCUUGUGGUUUGAGUCCUGGUUUUCCAACUGCUGUUGCGGUCGUUGAAAUUACGAGUAGGCGCUUGGCGCGGUCAUUGGAUUUCGCGAGUUGGGUGCUUAUGAUAUGUGGACGGGUAACCGUAACAUGUUGUCUGUACCUGCUGUCAGUGAGAUAUUUACACUUUGGCACUACUCUGAUUGCAAUCUAAAGCAUGCGUGGUCUGCCUGU
rnacentral:rRNA from 1 species